UACGUAGGGGGCGAGCGUUGUCCGGAUUUAUUGGGCGUAAAGAGCUCGUAGGCGGUUUGGCAAGUCGGGUGUGAAAACUCCGGCUCAACUCGGAGACGCCACUCGAUACUGCUAUGACUCGAGUCCGGUAGGGGAGUGCGGAAUUCCUGGUGUAGCGGUGAAAUGCGCAGAUAUCAGGAGGAACACCAAUGCGAAGGCAGCUCGCUGGGACGUUACUGACGCUGAGACGCGAAAGCGUGGGGAGCAAACAGG
rnacentral:rRNA from 1 species